rnacentral:rRNA from 1 species
GCAGCAGCCGCGGUAAGACAGAGGGUGCAAACGUUGUUCGGAAUUACUGGGCGUAAAGAGCGUGUAGGCGGCUAUAUAAGUCGGAUGUGAAAGCCCGUGGCUCAACUGCGGAAGAGCACCCGAAACUGUGUAGCUAGAGUCCCGGAGAGGAAGGUGGAAUGCUUGGUGUAGAGGUGAAAUUCGUAGAUAUCAAGCGGAACACCGGUGGCGAAGGCGGCCUUCUGGACGAGGACUGACGCUGAGACGCGAAAGCGUGGGGAGCAAACAGGAUUAGAUACCCUGGUAGUCCACGCCGUAAACGAUGAGUGCUAGGUGUCACGGGCUUUGACCCUCGUGGUGCCGAAGCUAACGCGUUAAGCACUCCGCCUGGGGAGUACGGCCGCAAGGCUAAAACUCAAAGAAAUUGACGG